CUUUAAAAAUCUGGAACAAGCUGAAAAUUGAAACAAUAAACGCGUAAGCGUUUAUGAGUCUCUCUAAAUUAUCACACCUGAAGACAUCUUCGG
rnacentral:sRNA from 12 species